rnacentral:rRNA from 1 species
AUUCGGUUCGCUAAUCGAAAAUAGGGUCUCGGCUCAUUU